GAUGAACGCUGGCGGCGUGCCUAAUACAUGCAAGUCGAGCGAACAGACGAGGAGCUUUCCCCUCUGACGUUAGCGGCGGACGGGUGAGUAACACGUGGAUAAACUACCUAUAAGACUGGGAUAAAUUCGGGAAACCGGAGCUAAUACCGGAUAAUAUAUUGAACCGCAUGGUUCAAUAGUGAAAGACGGUUUUGCUGUCACUUAUAGAUGGAUCCGCGCCGCAUUAGCUAGUUGGUAAGGUAACGGCUUACCAAGGCAACGAUGCGUAGCCGACCUGAGAGGGUGAUCGGCCACACUGGAACUGAGACACGGUCCAGACUCCUAAGGGAGGCAGCAGUAGGGAAUCUUCCGCAAUGGGCGGAAGCCUGGCGGAGCAGCGCCGCGUGAGUGAUGAAGGUCUUCGGAUCGUAAAACUCUGUUAUUAGGGAAGAACAAAUGUGUAAGUAAAUAUUCACGUCUUGACGGUACCUAAUCAGAAAGCCACGGCUAACUACGUG
rnacentral:rRNA from 1 species